CGGGAUGUAAUGUCAAUUGGUAGACGGCUCGCUUUGGAAGCGAGAGGUUGAAGGUUCGAGUCCUUCCAUCCCGA
rnacentral:tRNA from 1 species